UACGGGGGGGGCAAGCGUUGUUCGGAAUUACUGGGCGUAAAGGGCUUGUAGGUGGCCAACUAAGUCAGACGUGAAAUCCCUCGGCUUAACCGGGGAACUGCGUCUGAUACUGGAUGGCUUGAGUUUGGGAGAGGGAUGCGGAAUUCCAGGUGUAGCGGUGAAAUGCGUAGAUAUCAGGAGGAACACCGGUGGUGUAGACGGCUUUCUGGACCGUAACUGACGCUGAGACACGAAAGCGUGGGUAGCAAACAGG
rnacentral:rRNA from 1 species